UAAAGGGAACUAACUCAUGGACAGAUUGGGGCUGCAAAGAGUACACGGCAUCUUUGAGGAGGAAACUGCUGCUGUUCAGUGUCAGUCACUGAUAUUUCAGAAGUGCUUUCUUUGGGGGAAGUAAAGACAGCAACAAAAAAGGCGAUGAACAGGACUUGUAUCUUCUGCAAGUCUGAAGUCUGCGCCUGUCUAUCAGAACUGUGAGAAGACUGGAUAUAUUCAACAUCCUGGUGGUUCCGUGUUACAGAUUGUCUUGUGCUGGUUCUGGGAAGUCCAAAGUGUCAUUGCUAAAAACUGAGAUCCCCAGAAGACAUGGAGAGCCUUACCUGGACUGCAUACACCGGCAUUACAGUGUAGAAUGGAAGACAGCAUUUUACAGAUUAUCAAUAAGGGUCCCUGGAGGAAAGUCUGCAGGAGAGGACCCGUCACUGCUGGGCCAUGGUUUGCAGAGUACUCCCUGUCAGUCAGCACUGUGCCCACCAUGAAGCAGGAUGUGCCAGGCAUGAGGGAGGAGGAUGAGUGAGAGCAAAGUACCCACAUCUGCUGGGGAGGGGUAAGUGGGGCAGCCGAGCUCAGCCCAGGCAUCAGCCACAUCUCUUGGAGAAUACUUGUCCAUGUACUGCUCUUACACUGAAACCUGAAGUAGAGCAUUUUAUUUUGGCUGGUGAGGUGCAAUGAUAAUGUAUCUCAUAAAUUCCAAGUCUGGAAUAAUUUCUCAAGACAUAACAGAGCUGUUUAGUUGUAAAGACAAACAGUUGUAUAGAGGAACCCAUUGAGUUUUGCUCAAGAGAAAAAGCAUUGAAACAACUCUCAGACAGAACAGCUGAGCCCAUUGUCAAAUCAGAGGUAAUAUUUGAUUUAUGUCAAUAAGUACUUAUUUCUAUCUUCGAUCCCACUCAGAGCCUCGUCUGGAGUGUAGCACAGCCUCAAGGCUCUGGGGCCUUCAGAAAGGGGUGCCAGUGUCCCUGGGAAGUGCAUACAAGAAACUGAAUUCCAGUCGUCUUCUCUUAUUUUGACUUUUUCUGUCUCCUUUGCAUGUAUGAAGUGGUUAGCAGUCCACCUCCCGCUCUGUAGGGCAGACUGACUCUGAAUUUGUGUUAUUCACAAAUAAUAAAUGAAUAAAUCAUCUUUAUUCACAUAAUUCUAUCUAAUCAUAGUCCUCAGCCAUUCACAAAUUGUUGGAAACACAAAGCAAUUUUUACUGAGCAGUAUUCUUGGUGCCAGAUGUGGUCCUUUGACCAUACUGGUGUCUAGCAGCUAUAAUUAACUGGCAUUUUGAGGGCUAAGGGAAAAGUAAGGAUAAAAUUCUGAGUUUGUUGUUUUAAGUAGAACUUAGGAUACAGCAUCAUUUCUACCAGUCCUGGAGCUCAUACCCAGUGGCUUUCAUUGUACUGAGCGUGUUGUGGUUCUGUUUUGUUCCUCCAGGCAGUAAUAGCUCAGCAUGAGAUAGUCUUCUUGUUUUCCUUUGUAACAUUUGGUAGCGUUUCAUCCAGCAGUAUCUGUAAUGGAAGGCAGGUUUGACUGUUUUGGACUCCCACUGGAUUUUAAAUAUGUUUUCAUCAAGUUUGUUUAUGAAGUGCUUUCACAACUAUAACCUUCUUUUAUGAUGACUUCCUUGUUUUACAUAUGUGAAAAUAUUUUUAUGUUUUGUGUCUCUUUCCUAAUUCUAAACAAUAUAUUUUGGUGCCACAACAAUAUAUUUUCCUAUCUGCACAUGAAGUUAUCAAGAAUUGUUGUACAGCUCACUUCUGUAUACCUGUUAACAAGACAUACUGUUUUUAUGAAGCACAGGCUUACUGCUUUGAGCAAUAUGUACAUAGUCAGGACUUACAAUAUAACAUUAUCCAUCUAUCCUAACCAUUAGAAAAUAAAAUCAUCU
ensembl:lncRNA